rnacentral:rRNA from 1 species
GCAGCAGUGGGGAAUAUUGGACAAUGGGCGCAAGCCUGAUCCAGCCAUACCGCGUGGGUGAAGAAGGCCUUCGGGUUGUAAAGCCCUUUUGUUGGGAAAGAAAUCCAGCUGGCUAAUACCCGGUUGGGAUGACAGUACCCAAAGAAUAAGCACCGGCUAACUUCGUGCCAGCAGCCGCGGUAAUACGAAGGGUGCAAGCGUUACUCGGAAUUACUGGGCGUAAAGCGUGCGUAGGUGGUCGUUUAAGUCCGUUGUGAAAGCCCUGGGCUCAACCUGGGAACUGCAGUGGAUACUGGACGACUAGAGUGUGGUAGAGGGUAGCGGAAUUCCUGGUGUAGCAGUGAAAUGCGUAGAGAUCAGGAGGAACAUCCAUGGCGAAGGCAGCUACCUGGACCAACACUGACACUGAGGCACGAAAGCGUGGGGAGCAAACAGGAUUAGAUACCCUGGUAGUCCACGCCCUAAACGAUGCGAACUGGAUGUUGGGUGCAAUUUGGCACGCAGUAUCGAAGCUAACGCGUUAAGUUCGCCGCCUGGGGAGUACGGUCGCAAGACUGAAACUCAAAGGAAUUGACGGU